GACGAACGCUGGCGGCGUGCUUAAUACAUGCAAGUCGAACGAACAGGCGCUGCUCUUGUGGGGUGCUCGAUUGGCGAACGGGUGAGUAACACGUGUGUAAACCGCCCCUGUCUUUGGGAUAACUUCAGGAAACUCGGGCUAAUACAGGAUAGGAGAUCCUGAAGCGUGGGGGGGGAUGGUGAGUUUCGGCGGUUGUGGAUGGAAUAGCGGCUUAUCAGCUUGUUGGUGGGGUAGUGGCGUACCAAGGCUAUGACGGGUAGCCGGCCUGAGAGGGUGACCGGCCACAUUGGGACUGAGAGACGGCCCAGACUCCUACGGGAGGCAGCAGUGGGGAAUAUUGCACAAUGGGCGGAAGCCUGAUGCAGCAACGCCGCGUGCGGGAUGACGGCCUUCGGGUUGUAAACCGCUUUCGCCUGUGACGAAGCGUGAGUGACGGUAAUGGGUAAAGAAGCACCGGCUAACUACGUG
rnacentral:rRNA from 1 species